rnacentral:rRNA from 1 species
AUUGAACGCUGGCGGCAUGCCUUACACAUGCAAGUCGAACGGCAGCACGGGUGCUUGCACCUGGUGGCGAGUGGCGAACGGGUGAGUAAUACAUCGGAACGUACCUUAUCGUGGGGGAUAACGCAGCGAAAGUUGCGCUAAUACCGCAUACGCCCUGAGGGGGAAAGCGGGGGACCGUAAGGCCUCGCGCGAUUAGAGCGGCCGAUGUCUGAUUAGCUUGUUGGUGGGGUAAAAGCUCACCAAGGCGAUGAUCAGUAGCUGGUCUGAGAGGACGAUCAGCCACACUGGGACUGAGACACGGCCCAGACUCCUACGGGAGGCAGCAGUGGGGAAUUUUGGACAAUGGGGGCAACCCUGACCCAGCAAUGCCGCGUGAGUGAAGAAGGCCUUCGGGUUGUAAGGCUCUUUUGUCAGGGAAGAAACAGCAGCUCUAACACAGUCUGCGAAUGACGGUACCUGAAGAAUAAGCACCGGCUAACUACGUGCCAGCAGCCGCCGUAA